UACGAAGGGGGCUAGCGUUGUUCGGAAUUACUGGGCGUAAAGCGCGCGCAGGUGGUCUUUCAAGUCAGAAGUGGAAUCUCAAGGCUCAACUUUGAGACUGUCUUUUGAAACUUCUCAACUAGAGGGGCAAAGAGGAAGCUGGAACGAACGGUGUAGUAGUGAAAUGCGUUGAUAUCGUUCGGAACACCAAUAGCGUAGGCAGGCUUCUGGGUGCCACCUGACACUGCUAGGACGAAAGCGUGGGGAGCGAAUGGG
rnacentral:rRNA from 1 species